AAUGCGAUAAGUAAUGUGAAUUGCAGAAUUCAGUGAAUCAUCGAAUCUUUGAACGCACCUUGCGCUCCUUGGUAUUCCUUGGAGCAUGCCUGUUUGAGUAUCAUGAAAUCUUCAAAGUAAAUCUUUUGUUAACUCAAUUGGUUUCUACUUUGGUAUUGGAGGUCUUUGCAGCUUCACACCUGCUCCUCUUUGUUCAUUAGCUGGAUCUCAGUGCUAUGCUUGGUUCCACUCGGCGUGAUAAGUUAUCUAUCGCUGAGGACACUGUAAAAGGUGGCCAAGGUAAAUGCAGAUGAACCGCUUCUAAUAGUCCAUUGACUUGGACAAUACUUUUAUGAUCUGAUCUCAAAUCAGGUAGGACUACCCGCUGAACUUAAGC
rnacentral:misc_RNA from 1 species